rnacentral:rRNA from 1 species
AACGAACGCUGGCGGCAGGCUUAACACAUGCUAGUCGAACGGUUGUAGCAAUACAGCAGUGGCAGACGGGUGAGUAACACGUGGGAACCUUCCUAGGGGUACGGAACAACUCAGGGAAACUUGAGCUAAUACCGUAUACGUCCGUGAGGAGAAAGAUUUAUCGCCCUUAGACGGGCCCGCGUCGGAUUAGCUAGUUGGUGGGGUAACGGCCUACCAGGGCGACGAUCCGUAGCUGAUCUUAGAGGAUGAUCAGCCACACUGGGACUGAGACACGGCCAGACUACUACGGGAGGCAGCAGUGGGGAAUCUUGGACAAUGGGCGCAAGCCUGAUCCAGCCAUGCCGCGUGAGUGAAGAAGGUCUUCGGAUUGUAAAGCUCUUUGCCAGGGACGAUAAUGACGGUACCUGGAGAAUAAGCCCCGGCAAACUUCGUGCCAGCCGCCGCGGUAA